rnacentral:rRNA from 1 species
UAGUCCACGCCGUAAACGAUGAGUGCUAGCUGUCGGGACAUUAGUCUCGGUGGCGCAGCUAACGCAGUAAGCACUCCGCCUGGGAAGUACGGUCGCAAGAUUAAAACUCAAAGGAAUUGACGGGGACCCGCACAAGCGGUGGAGCAUGUGAUUUAAUUCGAGGCAACGCGAAGAACCUUACCAGGACUUGACAUCCUUAUCGCGCGCACCAGAGAUGGAGCUUUCAGUUAGGCUGGACAAGAUACAGGUGCUGCAUGGCUGUCGUCAGCUCGUGUCGUGAGAUGUUCGGUUAAGUCCGGCAACGAGCGCAACCCACAUCUUUAGUUGCCAGCAGUUCGGCUGGGCACUCUAAAGAAACUGCCCGUGAUAAGCGGGAGGAAGGUGUGGAUGACGUCAAGUCCUCAUGGCCCUUACGGGUUGGGCUACACACGUGCUACAAUGGCAGUGACAAUGGGUUAAUCCCAAAAAGCUGUCUCAGUUCGGAUUGGGGU